UAUGGUUCCAUGGCGGCAAUU
rnacentral:piRNA from 1 species